CUUGGGUUGCAUAGUUGGGCAACACCAAUCAAAUUCAAUUCUAUGUGUGUCAGUCCUUCCACCACAUGAACUUCAUCAAAUUCAAUUUUACCGGCAUUAGCUCCUUCAUCAAGGAACUCCUUUUUCAUAAAAACUGUCUGGCUGCUGACAAACACCUUUUAUUCUAUAGUGAGGUAGAAGUAGUAUCCUUUAGUUUUCUUUGAGUAUCCUACAAACAAGCAUCUGUCGAACUUAUGUCCAAACUUAUCUGUCUUUAAAUGCUUGACAUAAGCUGGACACCCCU
rnacentral:lncRNA from 1 species